rnacentral:lncRNA from 1 species
AUCAUAUGCAUGAAGCAAUUUUCAAAUGCCUUCGAAGUCAGGGUACCAAGGGUUUCUUCAAGGGUUUGUCCAUGACAUGUCAAUUCAGUGCUUAAAAUCCUUCAACAGUUCUCAUUGACAAGCAGAAGUCCCUUAGUGUCAGUAUGUAAUACUUAAAAUGAAAAAUCUUAAAAAUAUGUUUUGGCUUGUCCUGAUUCAAAAAUAGCUAUAUUGUAGGAAAUUAUAGG